rnacentral:rRNA from 1 species
AUUGAACGCUGGCGGCGUGCUUAACACAUGCAAGUCGUGCGGUAACAGGCGUAGCAAUACGUGCUGACGAGCGGCGAACGGGUGCGUAAUACAUGGGAAUCUGCCCUUUAGUGGGGAAUAACCCGGCGAAAGCCGGGCUAAUGCCGCAUAAGAUCUUCGGAUGAAAGCGGGGGAUCGUAAGACCUCGCGCUGAUGGAUGAGCCCAUGUCGGAUUAGCAGUUGGUGAGGUAACGGCUCACCAAGGCGACGAUCCGUAGCUGGUCUGAGAGGACGGCCAGCCACACUGGGACUGGGACACGGCCCAGACUCCUACGGGAGGCAGCAGUGGGGAAUAUUGGACAAUGGGCGAAAGCCUGAUCCAGCGACGCCGCGUGUGUGAAGAAGGCCUGCGGGUUGUAAAGCACUUUCGA